rnacentral:rRNA from 1 species
ACGCUAGCGGGAGGCCUAACACAUGCAAGCCGAGCGGUAGAAGAUCUUCGGAUCUUUGAGAGCGGCGUACGGGUGCGGAACACGUGUGCAACCUGCCUUUAUCAGGGAGAUAGCCUUUCGAAAGGAAGAUUAAUAUCCCAUAAUAUUUUGAGUGGCAUCACUUAAAAUUGAAAGCUCCGGCGGAUAGAGAUGGGCACGCGCAAGAUUAGAUAGUUGGCGGGGUAACGGCCCACCAAGUCAAUGAUCUUUAGGGGGCCUGAGAGGGUGAUCCCCCACACUGGUACUGAGACACGGACCAGACUCCUACGGGAGGCAGCAGUGAGGAAUAUUGGACAAUGGGUGAGAGCCUGAUCCAGCCAUCCCGCGUGAAGGACGACGGCCCUAUGGGUUGUAAACUUCUUUUGUAUAGGGAUAAACCUACCCUCGUGAGGGUAGCUGAAGGUACUAUACGAAUAAGCACCGGCUAACUCCGUGCCAGCAGCCGCGGUAAUACGGAGGGUGCAAGCGUUAUCCGGAUUUAUUGGGUUUAAAGGGUCCGUAGGCGGACUCGUAAGUCAGUGGUGAAAUCUCAUAGCUUAACUAUGAAACUGCCAUUGAUACUGCGGGUCUUGAGUAAGGUAGAGGUAGCUGGAAUAAGUAGUGUAGCGGUGAAAUGCAUAGAUAUUACUUAGAACACCAAUUGCGAAGGCAGGUUACCAUGUCUUAACUGACACUGAUGGACGAAAGCGUGGGGAGCGAAAC